UUUUAUUUUAACAUCAUCAUGGCUAGGCUUCGUGAACGAAGAUUUGAGGAGGGGCUCUACCCAUGUUUAUUACAAGCGUGCUGGUGACUAAAGAGGCCAAUUUGAGAUAGGCACGUCCGGUUGCAAAAGGCACAACAGAAAGACU